rnacentral:rRNA from 1 species
AGUGAACGCUGGCGGUAGGCCUAACACAUGCAAGUCGAACGGCAGCACAGUAAGAGCUUGCUCUUACGGGUGGCGAGUGGCGGACGGGUGAGGAAUACAUCGGAAUCUACUUUUUCGUGGGGGAUAACGUAGGGAAACUUACGCUAAUACCGCAUACGACCUACGGGUGAAAGCAGGGGAUCUUCGGACCUUGCGCGAUUGAAUGAGCCGAUGGCGGAUUAGCUAGUUGGCGGGGUAAGGGCCCACCAAGGCGACGAUCCGUAGCUGGUCUGAGAGGAUGAUCGGCCACACUGGAACUGAGACACGGUCCAGAGUCCUACGGGAGGCAGCAGUGGGGAAUAUUGGACAAUGGGCGCAAGCCUGAUCCAGCCAUACCGCGUGGGUGAAGAAGGCCUUCGGGUUGUAAAGCCCUUUUGUUGGGAAAGAAAAGCAGCAGGUUAAUACCCCGCUGUUCUGACGGUACCCAAAGAAUAAGCACCGGCUAACUUCGUG